CAGGUGUGUCUCAGUACGGACAACGUCGAGGUUGGGGGACUUUUCUCGACUUAAAACUUAACUGAAUACAUCAGAAAUAUGCUCGCGAAACAUAACACGCAUGGCAGCCAAGGACACGAAUGCCGAGCUUGAAUUUUACCAUUGGUUAGCUAGCAAACGCCAUGCUGCUUGCGAUUAUUAACAUCUGUUUUGAUUCCAUUGAGUUAUUUCUUUUCUGGCUCAAACUACACGCCCACAUAUCUUCAGCGUGUUACCCUUAACAGUUAUUUCAAUAUGAAUUAUUUUGGAGUACUUAUUUUAAUUUUAAGCCAAAUUUUUUUUUGGAGGAAGAAGAAGAGCAACCGGCGUACGACAAAGGUGAGCUGAGGGUAGAAUUAAUAGAAGCUACGAUUAUUUCCGAAAAAAUAUUUACAAAAUGGCGGACACAAAAAAUAUAAAAUUCAGCUGACAGUUGUUAAUUUUUA
rnacentral:lncRNA from 1 species